CGAUCGAUCAGUUCGAGGCCAAUAAUGCUGUCGGCUGCAUUGUCGUCACUGGCAACGAAAAGGCAUUUGCCGCCGGCGCGGACAUCAAGGAAAUGCAGCCGAAGAAAUUCAUCGACAUGUUCAGCGAAGACUUCAUGGAUAUCGGCGGCGAUCGCGUUGCGACCUGCAAGAAGCCGACCAUUGCGGCUGUCAGCGGCUAUGCGCUCGGCGGCGGCU
rnacentral:misc_RNA from 1 species